rnacentral:rRNA from 1 species
AUUGAACGCUGGCGGCAUGCCUUACACAUGCAAGUCGAACGAUGAAGCUGGAGCUUGCUCCGGUGGAUUAGUGGCGAACGGGUGAGUAACACGUGAGCAAUCUGCCCUUGACUCUGGGAUAACUGCGGGAAACUGUAGCUAAUACCGGAUACUUUCACUGGAAGGCAUCUUCUGGUGAAGAAAGAAUUUCGGUCAAGGAUGGGCUCGGGGCCUAUCAGCUUGUUGGUGAGGUAGUAGGUAACCAAGGCGACGACGGGUAGCCGGCCUGAGAGGGCGACCGGCCACACUGGGACUGAGACACGGCCCAGACUCCUACGGGAGGCAGCAGUGGGGAAUAUUGCGCAAUGGGCGAAAGCCUGACGCAGCAACGCCGCGUGCGGGAUGAAGGCCUUCGGGUUGUAAACCGCUUUCAGCAGGGAAGAAGCGAAAGUGACGGUACCUGCAGAAGAAGCACCGGCUAACUACGUGCCAGCCGCCGCAGUAA